rnacentral:rRNA from 1 species
UACGGGGGGGGCAAGCGUUGUUCGGAAUUACUGGGCGUAAAGGGCGCGUAGGCGGUUGGAUAAGUCAGCUGUGAAAACCACGGGCUUAACUCGUGGCCUGCAGUUGAGACUGUCUGGCUUGAGUGUGGGAGAGGAGAGUGGAAUUCCUGGUGUAGCGGUGAAAUGCGUAGAUAUCAGGAGGAACACCGGUGGCGAAGGCGGCUCUCUGGACCACAACUGACGCUGAGGCGCGAAAGCUAGGGGAGCGAACAGG